GACGAACGCUGGCGGCGUGCUUAACACAUGCAAGUCGAACGGAAAGGCCCUGCUUUUGUGGGGUGCUCGAGUGGCGAACGGGUGAGUAACACGUGAGUAACCUGCCCUUGACUUUGGGAUAACUUCAGGAAACUGGGGCUAAUACCGGAUAGGAGCUCCUGCUUCAUGGUGGGGGUUGGAAAGUUUCGGCGGUUGGGGAUGGACUCGCGGCUUAUCGGCUUGUUGGUGGGGUAGUGGCUUACCAAGGCUUUGAUGGGUAGCCGGCCUGAGAGGGUGACCGGCCACAUUGGGACUGAGAUACGGCCCAGACUCCUACGGGAGGCAGCAGUGGGGAAUAUUGCACAAUGGGCGGAAGCCUGAUGCAGCAACGCCGCGUGCGGGAUGACGGCCUUCGGGUUGUAAACCGCUUUCGCCUGUGACGAAGCGUGAGUGACGGUAAUGGGUAAAGAAGCACCGGCUAACUACGUG
rnacentral:rRNA from 1 species